AGGAAUAUUGGUCAAUGGGCGAGAGCCUGAACCAGCCAAGUAGCGUGAAGGAUGAAGGUCCUACGGAUUGUAAACUUCUUUUAUACGGGAAUAAAGUAUCCUACGUGUAGGAUUUUGUAUGUACCGUAUGAAUAAGCAUCGGCUAACUCCGUGCCAGCAGCCGCGGUAAUACGGAGGAUGCGAGCGUUAUCCGGAUUUAUUGGGUUUAAAGGGAGCGCAGACGGGAGAUUAAGUCAGUUGUGAAAGUUUGCGGCUCAACCGUAAAAUUGCAGUUGAUACUGGUUUCCUUGAGUGCAGUUGAGGCAGGCGGAAUUCGUGGUGUAGCGGUGAAAUGCUUAGAUAUCACGAAGAACCCCGAUUGCGAAGGCAGCUUGCUAAACUGUAACUGACGUUCAUGCUCGAAAGUGUGGGUAUCAAACAGGAUUAGAUACCCUGGUAGUCCACACGGUAAACGAUGGAUACUCGCUGUUGGCGAUAUACUGUCAGCGGCCAAGCGAAAGCAUUAAGUAUCCCACCUGGGGAGUACGCCGGCAACGGUGAAACUCAAAGGAAUUGACGGGGGCCCGCACAAGCGGAGGAACAUGUGGUUUAAUUCGAUGAUACGCGAGGAACCUUACCCGGGCUUAAAUUGCAGACGAAUUACGAGGAAACUUGUAAGCCGCAAGGCGUCUGUGAAGGUGCUGCAUGGUUGUCGUCAGCUCGUGCCGUGAGGUGUCGGCUUAAGUGCCAUAACGAGCGCAACCCUCGUGGUCAGUUACUAACAGGUUAAGCUGAGGACUCUGGCCAGACUGCCAUCGUAAGAUGUGAGGAAGGUGGGGAUGACGUCAAAUCAGCACGGCCCUUACGUCCGGGGCUACACACGUGUUACAAUGGGAGGUACAGAAGGCAGCUACCCGGCGACGGGAUGCCAAUCCCGAAAGCCGCUCUCAGUUCGGACUGGAGUCUGCAACCCGACUCCACGAAGCUGGAUUCGCUAGUAAUCGCGCAUCAGCCACGGCGCGGUGAAUACGUUCCCG
rnacentral:rRNA from 1 species